AGUCCCGUAACGAGCGCAACCCUUGUCCUUAGUUACCAGCACGUAAUGGUGGGCACUCUAAGGAGACUGCCGGUGACAAACCGGAGGAAGGUGGGGAUGACGUCAAGUCAUCAUGGCCCUUACGGCCUGGGCUACACACGUGCUACAAUGGUCGGUACAGAGGGUUGCCAAGCCGCGAGGUGGAGCUAAUCCCAUAAAACCGAUCGUAGUCCGGAUCGCAGUCUGCAACUCGACUGCGUGAAGUCGGAAUCGCUAGUAAUCGCGAAUCAGAAUGUCGCGGUGAAUACGUUCCCGGGCCUU
rnacentral:rRNA from 1 species